CCUGCAGGCGGCCGCGAAUUCACUAGUGAUUAGAGUUUGAUCAUGGCUCAGGAUGAACGCUGGCGGCGUGCUUAACACAUGUAAGUCGAACGGACGCUUUGASCAAUCGGAGCGUUAGUGGCAGACGGGUGCGUAACACGUGGGUGACCUACCUCGAAGUGGGGAAUAACAGACCGAAAGGUUUGCUAAUACCGCAUACGUUCGGCUCUUCAUUGAGCCGCGCAAAGCCGAAAGGCGCUUUGAGAGGGGCCCGCGGCCCAUCAGGUAGUUGGUGAGGUAAUGGCCCACCAAGCCGAUGACGGGUAGCUGUUCUGAGAGGAAGAUCAGCCACACUGSCMCUGAGAUACGGGCCAGACUCCUACGGGAGGCAGCAGUGAGGAAUAUUGCACAAUGGACGAAAGUCUGAUGCA
rnacentral:rRNA from 1 species